AAUAAACAAGAUUCACAGAGGAGACACAUUCUGGGCACAUGAAUGGUCUGAGCUCUGUGGAUGACACUAGAUUCAGAACUAACAUAUAAUUUAUUCUAUGUCCUGAAUCUAUAAUCUCUCAAGGAGGGAGGUGAGAAAAUGGACACAGUCACUGUGGGCGGUCAUUUUGUGUGAUGCUAUCAAAUGGGACUAAGGGAUACUCGGAAGGUUAAAGUUGUUUUAUUAACAUGGCUGGUAAUGGACACAGGCCACUAGCCAGGAACUGCUUGUGCUUUCAUCCAGAUGUCACAGUUCUCCAUAUGCAUGCCCCCCACAAGGCUACUUGGGUUUCCUGGAGAGCACGGUGCUGACUUUCAGAAUGGUGUAUUCUAAGAGUUCAAGAACCCUCGUGCAACAUCUUCCCAGUUGUAUUUUGAAUGUCUCCUUGCAAGAUCCAGGAAUCUCCUCCAAGCUCCUGCCCCUGAGAGCCCUCAUCCAGUGGCUGAUGGAAGCAGAGACAGACAUCCACAGAUAUACACUGAGCUGAAAUCUGGAAUUUAGUUGGAGAGAGGGAGGAAUGAAGAGUGAAGGGGUCUGUACCAGGUUGGAGAAACCCACAGGAACAAUUGGCCUGAACAAGGGACAGCACAUCGACUCCAGAUGCUGUUGGGGAGGCCAGUACAAGAUUGAUCCAGACCCCUGAACAUGGAUGUCAAUAAGGAGGCCUCUGCACUCCAGGGAGCCUCUGGUAGUGGAUUAGUAUUUUUUCCUGGUGUGAGAAGGGACUUUGAGAGUCCAUCCCAUGUGAAGGGUUACACUCUGGCCCUGGACACAUGGGGAAGGGCCCAGGCCCAGCACAGGAAGAUUUGGUGGACUUUGCAGAGCCCCCGUUGAGGGCCCUACCCUGCCUGGGGAGUG
rnacentral:lncRNA from 1 species